rnacentral:misc_RNA from 1 species
GAUGAAGAACGUAGCGAAAUGCGAUACUUGGUGUGAAUUGCAGAAUCCCGUGAACCAUCGAGUCUUUGAACGCAAGUUGCGCCCGAAGCCAUUAGGCCGAGGGCACGCCUGCCUGGGCGUCACACGUCGUUGCCCCCCCAUCUACUCCUUCGGGAUUGGGGGGGGCGGAUGAUGGCCUCCCGUGCGCCUCGUCGCGCGGUUGGCAUAAAUGCCAAGUCCUCGGCGACGCACGCCACGACAAUCGGUGGUUGCGAAACCUCGGUUGCCCGUCGUGUGCGGUCGUCGCGCAUCGAGGGCUCGAAAAAAUUGUCGGGCUCCGGCUCGGCUUUCAACGCGACCCCAGGUCAGGCGGGGUUACCCGCUGAAUUUAAGCAUAUCAAUAAGCGGAGGA